GUUUCCGUAGUGUAACGGUUAUCACGUUCGCCUUAGAGGCGAAAGGUCCACAGUUCAAAACUGGGCGGAAACA